AAAUAACAACUACAGGUUUAAUUUUAGAAGUGCUGUUAUUAAAAAGGGGAUCGAAAUGUCGAAUUUGGUGAUUUUUCUUCUUCUUGCUGGUCUUUUGGUUGUUCCUGAUUCAGUGGACGGUUAUUGUUUUUGGAAGUGUGCAGUGCGCUGUCGUGGAGGGAGAAGAUGUUGUAGAUGGGUGAGGAAUUGUUAUGUACGUAAACGCUCAACCGAGAAUGAAGUCAAACAAGAUGAGCUAGAAGACAAGCUAAUUCACGAUACCUACUAAGCAGAUA